rnacentral:rRNA from 1 species
UGGGGAAUAUUGCACAAUGGGCGCAAGCCUGAUGCAGCCAUGCCGCGUGUAUGAAGAAGGCCUUCGGGUUGUAAAGUACUUUCAGCGGGGAGGAAGGGAGUAAAGUUAAUACCUUUGCUCAUUGACGUUACCCGCAGAAGAAGCACCGGCUAACUCCGUGCCAGCAGCCGCGGUAAUACGGAGGGUGCAAGCGUUAAUCGGAAUUACUGGGCGUAAAGCGCACGCAGGCGGUUUGUUAAGUCAGAUGUGAAAUCCUCGGGCUCAACCUGGGAACUGCAUCUGAUACUGGCAAGCUUGAGUCUCGUAGAGGGGGGUAGAAUUCCAGGUGUAGCGGUGAAAUGCGUAGAGAUCUGGAGGAAUACCGGUGGCGAAGGCGGCCCCCUGGACGAAGACUGACGCUCAGAUGCGAAAGCGUGGGGAGCAAACAGG